UGGUGUAGGCAGGGUUAGGCUUCGCGUUGGCUUCUGGGAAAUGUAGUUUUGCUACAGCCUGCGCUACUGUUUGCGACGGAAACUACAACCCCCAGGAGCCACCGCGACUUCGCCUGUCGCAGCCUGCAAAUCAAAGGUUCUGGAGGCAGGAGUUGAGUCGGUCGGUCUGAUAAUGGAUUCUGAAUUAAUGCAUAGUAUAGUAGGAAGCUAUUUUAAACCUCCAGAAAGAGUAUUUGUUCCACCAUUUAUCCAAGAUGAAACGUCUCAGAAAUGCCACCCUGUGAACUUAGAAGUUACUGCUCCUAAAAUGCUUCAUAGUCCAAAUAGCCAAGCUCUUACUUGGGCCUUACAAACUCUUCAGGAAAAGAUUCAUCGUUUAGAGCUUGAGAGAACACAAGCUGAAGAUAACCUGAACAUACUUUCUAGAGAAGCGGCUCAGUACAAAAAGGCCUUGGAAAAUGAAACAAAUGAGAGGAAUCUGGCACACCAGGAACUGAUAAAGCAGAAGAAAGAUAUAAGUAUACAGUUAAGCUCAGCCCAGUCUCGUUGUACUCUUCUAGAGAAACAACUAGAAUAUACAAAGAGAAUGGUUCUCAAUGUAGAACGAGAAAAAAAUAUGAUACUAGAACAACAGGCCCAGCUUCAAAGGGAAAAAGAACAAGAUCAGAUGAAGCUGCAUGCAAAACUUGAAAAGCUUGAUGUCUUAGAAAAAGAGUGUUUUAGACUGACAACCACUCAGAAGACUGCUGAGGACAAGAUUAAACAUCUAGAGGAAAAACUUCAGGAAGAAGAACAUCAGCGUAAGCUAUUUCAAGACAAAGCUGCUGAGCUUCAAACUGGACUUGAAAUCAGUAAAAUUUUAAUGUCUUCAGUUUCAAAUUCAAAACACUCCAAGGAAAAGAAAAAAUCUUCAAAGUCUGCCAGUGCAGGCUGUUCUGUGAAUGCAGGUAGGCAAAGCCUUCAGCACAAGAUGUAUCAUUGCAGCCCACAUGUCUUUCCAAAACAUGCCCAUGUGAUUGAGCCUCGAUGUCUCUGUAAGCCACCUAGAACAGUUUCCCAGUAUAACGCUGUACCUUGUGAAUCAGAAAAGUCUGUUUCCAUUUGUGACAAUUUGUCUGAACUUUUGAUGGCAAUGCAAGAUGAGCUGGACCAAAUGAGCAUGGAGCAUGAAGAACUACUGAAACAAAUGAAGGAAACUGAAAGCCAUUCCAUGUGUGACGACAUAGAAUGUGAACUAGAGUGUUUAGUCAAGAAAAUGGAAAUUAAAGAAAAACAAAUUUCCAAACUGAAGAAGCAUCAGGACAGUGUCCAUAAACUGCAGCAAAAAGUUCAAAACUCAAAGAAAAGUAAAGCUUUGGGUAUUCAGCAAGACAGUAACCAAGGAUUGAAGAGCAUGAAAAAUAGCCCCAGAAAAUGUUUGAAUGAAGCUAACUCUUCUCAGAAAAGCAGCAACUUUCAUCCAAUACGAGUUCAUAAUAUUCAAGCGAAAUUGAGAAGAGAUGAUAUCAUGUGGGAACAGUAAUACAAUAGCAAAACUGUCAGCUUAAAUGAACUUUGUCAGCAAGAAUUUGAAUUGUUAAAAUGGUUUUAAUCUAAUAUAUGUUUGUGAAAUUUUAAAUUACAUUUCUGGCCUCUAUAAAACAUGAAGUUGUAUGUUUUUAAAUCAAUGCUUAGUGACCAACUAAGAGUUCCAAAUAAUAUGAUAUCUUUUUUUCUUUUUCUUACUGACCAAAGCCCAUAAACUCAUCAUCUUUUAGAAACAUUAUUCACUCUGUAGAUAUCUUAAGCUAAAGCUAGGAAAUUAUACUGGGUUGCUCAGUAUUCAAAAUUGAGUUAAAUCUGAGAUAUCAAUACCAUUCCACUUUUUCAUUUAGUAGACUUAUAACCUUUUUUUUUUUUUUUAGUAGACUUAUAACCUUAAGAACCAACAUUAAAUGAACAGAGUACAGAAAGAUCUUAGUGCUGUCUGGCGCUGUCUCCCUGUCUUGUUUCUACAGUUUUGUGAAAGUCUUUAACGUUGGUUUUAUGUGACAAUUACAAGUAGGAAUCCAUAGUUACCUAAUAUGUACAAGACAGUAAUUCACUGACAGAAUACUAUUCCUAUUCUCUAUACAAAUCUAGAUUUUUUUUAAUACCCAUGAUCUGAUUUAUCUUUAUUACUUUUGCUGACUUUUAUUCUUUGGAUUAUAUAUAAUGUCCCUCAAUCUAAAUUGAGAACAUGAGUUUCUACCAUCUAAAAAGGUGGUAUAUUUUUAUUAGAAAGAGAGGUAUUUAAUUACCUUAUCCAGCAAAAAAUCAGGGUGAUGUGGCAUAUCUUUAUUUUUAUAUUUUAAAAUUAGUGAUGUAAUAAUUUCUUUAUGUAUGCAUGCUUUAUAAUAAAUUUACACUUGGCUUUUUAGAAGCCUGUGAUAACUAGUACAACUUUUUUGAACUCUUGGAUUCUCACUCAAAUCCUCUGAUGCAACUAGAGAACUAAAGUCAUCAACUAAAGUAGAAAUAGAGGACAGAUAGAAAAGCUGUAAGAAAAGCUUGGAAUAUAGGGUAGCAGUUUAAGAAUUUACCAAAUUCUCUGAAUUCACACCAGUAGGAGUGUUCAGGCUUUGGAUGUGAAAGAAUUUUUAGGUUGGACCUAAGGAGCUAAAAAAAAUAAUUUUUAAAAGAUGGUCUUUGUUUCUGUUUUCCUAAGAAAUUCUCAAAAAGUGAGUAAUUGUGAAUCUUCUAGGGAAGAGGAGAGCUAUGAUUUCAUGCUAAUGGUGAGAAGAAAUGCCAUGGUAGAGGCAUUUCCAUACCUGAAAAUGAGCUGACUGAAAAUGGGCAGACUGAUCCUUGGAAUUGAAUUUGAAAGUAAUUAAUGGCACAGAUCAAAGUUUCUCUCCUGGUUUGAAUAAUACAUGUGAUGUGUGUCCUUAACUUGCUUUUACUUUGCCUUCCCUAUCAGCUUCUUGGCCCUGGAGGUGUUCCCCCGAAUGUUCCAUCUAAAUUCAGUUUUAGCACCAUAUCCAUUUUUCUGCUUUACCUUUCCUCCUCAAAGAUACAAGUUCUAUAAUUUAAGCUUAGCAAAAAAGAAAAAAGAAACUAAAAACAAAACUCACCAAGACUAUAAUGCAACCCUUUUCUUCUAUGCAUUUAGGAAGGUGGCUAAUUUGGAGGGCAGCUUGAUUUUGGUUUUUUUGAGACAGAGUCAUGCUGUGUAGUUCAAGCUGGCCUUGAAUUCACAGCGAUCCUACUUCCUCACUUUCUCAAGUGCAAGUGCUGGAAUUACAGAUGUGUGCCACCAUACCCAGCAAAUACAUUUUUUAUCAGAAAAGUUACUACUUAUGAAAAUGUGUUGCUAAAACAAAUUACUGUAAAAUGCAAAAAUCAUUUUAAAAACACUUAAAUAUUUCAGUUAAGAAUUGAGUGUUUUCUCAUAAAAUUAUUGUAGUAUAGUAGAAAAGAACACAAUACCUUUGAGUUAAGAGAUUUGGAUUUAAAUUCUGACUUCAUUGUUUUAUUUUUAAUUUGGGGGGGGGUACCGGAGAUCGAACUCGGGACCUUGCGCUUCUGGGGCAGGCGGCAGAACCACUGAGCUAAAUCCCUGGUCCUUUGACUUCACUGUUUGUUAGCUUACAUAAUCAAGUAACUUUGGAGCUUCAGUUUCUCAUCUGUAAAGUUGGGGUUAUACUAAUCCUACUGCCAGGGUGGUUGUGAGGACUAAAUGAAAUAACUAACAUCCAAAAGCAUCCAACAGAAGGCUUGACAUUUAAUUAAGACUCAAUAAAUGUUUUUUAAUCUGAGUGGCCAAAAUAAUAAUAAUUACUGUAGAACACAAAAGUGGAAAUGUUCUAAUUUUUUUCCCCCUGUACCUGAAGGAAAAUCACUUUGACUACUUUCCUAUCCCCAGGUUUCUACAGGGUUGGGGUGAAGAAUACAAAUCUACCACGCCGUAGAAAUACAUAAUCACACACAGCAACUUGGUGUGGAGUUUGUUUUGGUUGUUGAGGUAACAUUUAUUUCUGGGAGACAGUGAAGAAUGGGGCUUUGUUGCUCCAUCACAGCUACUGAACUAAAAACAUGUCUUUGUUCACAGACAGCCUGCUUGUCAGGGCCACUGACUCUUCGGUGGGUGGAGCAAAAGCUUUCUUUCCUGGAUGGGGCAUUCUGUGUUCAGUGUACAACAGUUGCUGUAGCAAUCCCACUGCUGUGCUCUGCCUAACAGAAACAUGAUCUCAACUUUGAUGAAACUAUGAAAUCGGACAGUUUUAGUGUUUGAAGUGGAAGAUACUGUGAAUAUUCUAAUACUGGAAAUGAGAGCUGAAUCUUGAAUUAACUGAUUUGGGUGAGUCAUUGGCAACCAGCAAUUUUUAUUGUGUUGUAGCUUAAAGAUUAAGAGUGUUGGAGAGACAAGCUCAGUUUUCAGUAUAUAAGAUUAAAGAGUAAGAUUAAAAUGGGAGGUACACUGGCUGAGGUCGUGUACUUGAAAAAUUAUUUUUUGAAAUUUUGUAGCUUUCUUUAAAAGUAUAAUUUUAACUAUAAAAUAGUUAUUCUUAAUCCAUGAUUAAAAUAUCAAAAAAUAAAUAAAAUGUUGACUUGUAAAUGAUUCAAGAAAUCAGUCUAAGGGGGAAAAGUCCAAUUUAUCAUGCACAGUGGAAGGUGAGUGUCAUGACCAAAAUCAUGGCCAAAAAUGCACCAGCUGCCAUUAUUGGUGUAGAGUACAUAUGAAACUCUUAAUGGGGGUUCCUGGAACUCUAGCUAAAGAGUAACUAACUAUAGGUGUACAACUGAGAACAUUUGUAUGUGAAAUUUAGAUAAGUACAAGCUGACUCCCAGACAUAAGACAAGCCUCUCUAAGGCAAAAUAGCAUUUGUGAGACUAAAAAAAAAAA